GAUGAACGCUGGCGGCGUGCCUAAUACAUGCAAGUCGAGCGAACAGACAAGGAGCUUGCUCCUUUGACGUUAGCGGCGGACGGGUGAGUAACACGUGGGUAACCUACCUAUAAGACUGGGAUAACUUCGGGAAACCGGAGCUAAUACCGGAUAAUAUUUCGAACCGCAUGGUUCGAUAGUGAAAGAUGGUUUUGCUAUCACUUAUAGAUGGACCCGCGCCGUAUUAGCUAGUUGGUAAGGUAACGGCUUACCAAGGCGACGAUACGUAGCCGACCUGAGAGGGUGAUCGGCCACACUGGAACUGAGACACGGUCCAGACUCCUACGGGAGGCAGCAGUAGGGAAUCUUCCGCAAUGGGCGAAAGCCUGACGGAGCAACGCCGCGUGAGUGAUGAAGGUCUUCGGAUCGUAAAACUCUGUUAUUAGGGAAGAACAUACGUGUAAGUAACUAUGCACGUCUUGACGGUACCUAAUCAGAAAGCCACGGCUAACUACGUGCCAGCAGCCGCGGUAAUACGUAGGUGGCAAGCGUUAUCCGGAAUUAUUGGGCGUAAAGCGCGCGUAGGCGGUUUUUUAAGUCUGAUGUGAAAGCCCACGGCUCAACCGUGGAGGGUCAUUGGAAACUGGAAAACUUGAGUGCAGAAGAGGAAAGUGGAAUUCCAUGUGUAGCGGUGAGAUGCGCAGAGAUAUGGAGGAACACCAGUGGCGAAGGCGACUUUCUGGUCUGUAACUGACGCUGAUGUGCGAAAGCGUGGGGAUCAAACAGGAUUAGAUACCCUGGUAGUCGACGCCGUAAACGAUGAGUGCUAAGUGUUAGGGGGUUUCCGCCCCUUAGUGCUGCAGCUAACGCAUUAAGCACUCCGCCUGGGGAGUACGACCGCAAGGUUGAAACUCAAAGGAAUUGACGGGGACCCGCACAAGCGGUGGAGCAUGUGGUUUAAUUCGAAGCAACGCGAAGAACCUUACCAAAUCUUGACAUCCUUUGACAACUCUAGAGAUAGAGCCUUCCCCUUCGGGGGACAAAGUGACAGGUGGUGCAUGGUUGUCGUCAGCUCGUGUCGUGAGAUGUUGGGUUAAGUCCCGCAACGAGCGCAACCCUUAAGCUUAGUUGCCAUCAUUAAGUUGGGCACUCUAAGUUGACUGCCGGUGACAAACCGGAGGAAGGUGGGGAUGACGUCAAAUCAUCAUGCCCCUUAUGAUUUGGGCUACACACGUGCUACAAUGGACAAUACAAAGGGCAGCGAAACCGCGAGGUCAAGCAAAUCCCAUAAAGUUGUUCUCAGUUCGGAUUGUAGUCUGCAACUCGACUACAUGAAGCUGGAAUCGCUAGUAAUCGUAGAUCAGCAUGCUACGGUGAAUACGUUCCCGGGUCU
rnacentral:rRNA from 1 species